GGGCAAGAUGCUGGAUUGGAGGUAAGUUGGUGGGCAUGCGUUGAGCCGAAACCAUAUUUAAAUUCUUCUGAUCCCCUUCAGCACCCAAAGAAGAAGGUCCAGGACUAUGCUUCCAGUCAUGCUGUUUUCCAGAAGGAAUAUACGUAGCACCCAUGAAACUCAAGCCAACUUGCCCAAACUGUCCAACAGGAGCAAAGUGAUUGUAUACAACCAUGUGCGGAGGACCUUGA
rnacentral:misc_RNA from 1 species